rnacentral:rRNA from 1 species
GGUUAAGCGACUAAGCGUACACGGUGGAUGCCCUGGCAGUCAGAGGCGAUGAAGGACGUGCUAAUCUGCGAUAAGCGUCGGUGAGGUGAUAUGAACCGUUAUAACCGGCGAUUUCCGAAUGGGGAAACCCAGUGUGUUUCGACACACUAUCAUUAACUGAAUCCAUAGGUUAAUGAGGCGAACCGGGGGAACUGAAACAUCUAAGUACCCCGAGGAAAAGAAAUCAACCGAGAUUCCCCCAGUAGCGGCGAGCGAACGGGGAGGAGCCCAGAGCCUGAAUCAGUGUGUGUGUUAGUGGAAGCGUCUGGAAAGGCGCGCGAUACAGGGUGACAGCCCCGUACACAAAAAUGCACAUG